rnacentral:rRNA from 1 species
AUUGAACGCUGGCGGUAUGCUUAACACAUGCAAGUCGAACGGUAACAGGCCUUCGGGCGCUGACGAGUGGCGGACGGGUGCGUAACGCGUAGGAAUCUGCCGAUUAGUGGGGGACAACUUGGGGAAACUCAAGCUAAUACCGCAUACGCCCUACGGGGGAAAGCGGGGGACCUUCGGGCCUCGCGCUAAUCGAUGAGCCUGCGUUGGAUUAGCUAGUUGGUAGGGUAAAGGCCUACCAAGGCGACGAUCCAUAGCUGGUCUGAGAGGACGAUCAGCCACACUGGGACUGAGGCACGGCCCAGACUCCUACGGGAGGCAGCAGUGGGGAAUAUUGGACAAUGGGCGGAAGCCUGAUCCAGCAAUACCGCGUGUGUGAAGAAGGCCUGAGGGUUGUAAAGCACUUUUAAUCGGGAGGAACAUCUGAUGGUUAAUACCCAUCAGUCUGACAUUACCGAUAGAAAAAGCACCGGCUAACUCCGUGCCAGCCGCCGCCGUAACAC